CAAAUCGGGAAUCGGAUUUCUGUCAGUUUCGCUUCGGUCGAUUGUUUGCUUCUUGUUUCAAAAAUAAUUUUUAGACACAAAAAUCGUAAAAUAAAUUCGUUUUUGAACUAUACCUAAUUAAAUUUACAUUAUUUUUAACUAUAGCGUGUUAACAGUUUUAAAGCCUGUUUCUAUCCUAUCCAUACCCUCGCACUUACAUUCAAUUUAGCAAACCAAUCCCAAAAUUCGCAAAACCUAAAACAGUGUUCACGUAAAUUAAAUCCCUAAACAACCCGCGAAUGCCGAUCCCGCAUUUGCACACAGUGUAGUGGCGUUAACACACAUCCGUUUACAAAUGCCAGCAGUAGCUAGUCGGACAUCGAUGCGAUCUCGGCUCCCGUGGGACUAUGCUGUGGUUCGGUGUCCUGGCGCUGGGCAUGAUCAGCGGGCUGAACGUGACGGAAGCGCCCGGCGCGGAUGGUAGCUCGGCGGCGCCCCCGCUGUCGCCGAGCUCGGAGAUGCACCUGCUUGAGGCCACGCGCGGGGCGCCCCCGGCCGACCCCGUCAACGUGACGCUCCAGGACCGCGCGUCCAUGUGGGACCUCUACCUGCACCACUGCCCGCACUGGAAGCCCAUCAACCAUGUCUUCUUCCAAGCGGCCAACGUCUGCUUCCUAGUCUCCUUCCUUGCCCCGCACACACAGACUGGGCUGGUGUUUCUCCGGGCCGCGCUUGUACUCGGCUGUGCGUUGUCUGCGCUGUGGGCGUGGAGCAUCCAGUGCUAUAUGGAUGCGGUGGUGUGGAACGCAGUGUUUGUGCUGAUAAACUUUGUGUAUUUUGCGGUGCACUUCUAUUUGAUAAGGCCCAUCAAGUUUCACAAGGAUCUCGAAGAUGUCUACACGGCGUUGUUCAAACCACUGCGUGUGUCUCGUCGCCAAUUCCGGCGCGUGUUGCUGUGCAUGCGCAGCGUGCGGCACCUCAAGUGCCACGAGCUGUACGCGCACGAGAAGGUCACCAAGGUGGACAGCCUCUCGCUCGUGCUGUCCGGCAAGCUGGUGGUGUCUCAGAACCAGCGCGCGCUGCACAUCGUGUUCCCCCACCACUUCCUCGACUCGCCGGAGUGGUUUGGGGUCUCCACCGACGACUUCUUCCAGGUGUCAAUAAUGGCGAUGGAAGAGUCGCGCGUGCUGGUGUGGCACCGCGACAAGCUGAAGCUGUCCAUCAUGAGCGACGCGUUCUUGCAGUCCGUGUUCGACCACGUGCUGGGCAGGGACGUGGUGCAUAAGCUCAUGCAGGUGAGCGAAACGAUGGCAGUCAGCAACGGUCACUUACCAAACAGCUACGAAGAGGGAGAGGAUAAACCGAUGCUGGUGGUGAAGAAGUCGGGAGACGGGCCCGGGAUCACCGCCCUGCUGAACCGACAGCUGCAAGACGAGAGCGUACCUCUUCUACGACACAUCGGCCCGGCCAAGGUGAACCAUUGCUGAGCCGAUCAUGCAUCGGAAACUACCCACCCGUCUACAUAUCCUCUCGAUCCCACCCUCUAAACAAAUCAAUAUUCCACCGCACUUUUUGCCCCACCCCCGCAAGAAUCAAUUUUGAAACGCCGUUUGUUCCGUCUGAAAAUGAGGCGGUUUUAGAACGCUUUAUAUUUUUGAAUUUGGAUUCCCCUUUAAAUUUUUAACUGGGUUACCUUCCUAUUUUUCUACCAAUCCCUUUUGCCAUGGCUCAUUUUAUAUCCCUUUUAUAUGGUUUGCUAUAUACUUAUAAAUCUUGCUAUAUUUGUAAUUUGGUGUGCUAAUUUUCGUGCUAAAUUGAUUGAAAUGUAAACCUAGAACAAAACAUGUUUUGUUUGGUAAAUAGUAAUAAAAAGCAGUGAAUAUUACCUAGUGUGAAAGCAAUAUCUAAUCAGUAUCUUAUGUAGUUAUAAGAAUUUGAUAUUAUUUCAUACCUUACAUUAGAUUUUGCUCUCGAUGUCGUAAAAUGACAACAUAUCGAAAUUAUUUGAAACAAAAAACGGGCACAAAACCAAAAUAAAAAUGAAUCAUUUUAUACAUAAUUUUAAUCUGACUAUUGUAGGUUACCUACCUAUUCCUACUACUGGAGCUUAUUUAUCUCUUAUAUUUUUUAGGUUAUAUUCAUUCUACUCAUAUGAGUGCUGCCAUCUAUUGAUAACAAGUUUAAAGUUGCAUGCUGGUGUAUUUAUGUAAGGCUAGUCAUUUAUGUAUCUCCCAUGUUAGAUGUACUGUGUGUUUUGUAGUGUAUUGCAUGCAUUGUAUUGUAUAAGAUAUUCGUAUAUUAUGCGUAAGGUAGUAAUCGCUUAAAACUUUAGUGCUUAUCUUCUUAUUGUCUUCACAUUUACAUAUCUAUGAAAAUUUGCAAUUGAUUUACGAAUAUCUAUCAAUAUGGGACUGGCUUUUUAAAUAUGACUUUAAAAUAAGACGGAAGUCAAAAAAUUACUGUAUGUAUGCUUUAAUGUGUGUUGUUGUAAAUAACUUUUAUUAUAAUUAGGUAUUAGAGAUAAAUACUAUGAGCUUCAUAAAGUACUCAAUGACAUCCUUAUCCCGUCCUAUAUCCUAAAUCCUGUAGCAUGUUCGGAAGAUUUCUACAGUUGAAGCGACGGACCCAAACGCGUGGCGUCUCGGCCGCAUUGAGGAGACGGACCACGAGACGCCCGUCUGAGGAUACCUGCCCGUGGCCGUGCGCUGCGGACCGAAGCCCCAACCGCUCCCCCGCAGCCGCUCCGCCAAACGGGCGCGCCGGUAAAAUGCCACCUCCUUGGCAUUAAAGACACAGUGACCUUUGUGUGU